rnacentral:rRNA from 1 species
GAGUUUGAUCCUGGCUCAGGAUGAACGCUAGCUACAGGCUUAACACAUGCAAGUCGAGGGGCAGCAUGAACUUAGCUUGCUAAGUUUGAUGGCGACCGGCGCACGGGUGAGUAACACGUAUCCAACCUGCCGAUGACUCGGGGAUAGCCUUUCGAAAGAAAGAUUAAUACCCGAUGGCAUAGUUCUUCCGCAUGGUAGAACUAUUAAAGAACUUCGGUCAUCGAUGGGGAUGCGUUCCAUUAGGUUGUUGGCGGGGUAACGGCCCACCAAGCCUUCGAUGGAUAGGGGUUCUGAGAGGAAGGCCCCCCACAUUGGAACUGAGACACGGUCCAAACUCCUACGGGAGGCAGCAGUGAGGAAUAUUGGUCAAUGGACGAGAGUCUGAACCAGCCAAGUAGCGUGAAGGAUGACUGCCCUAUGGGUUGUAAACUUCUUUUAUACGGGAAUAAAGUGAGGCACGUGUGCCUUUUUGUAUGUAC